CCUACGGGUGGCAGCAGUGAGGAAUAUUGGUCAAUGGGCGCAGGCCUGAACCAGCCAAGUCGCGUGAGGGAAGACUGCCCUAUGGGUUGUAAACCUCUUUUAUAAGGGAAGAAUAAUGACUACGUGUAGUCAGAUGCCCGUACCUUAUGAAUAAGCAUCGGCUAACUCCGUGCCAGCAGCCGCGGUAAUACGGAGGAUCCGAGCGUUAUCCGGAUUCAUUGGGUUUAAAGGGUGCGUAGGUUGUUUUAUAAGUUAGCGGUGAAAUACCGAUGCUCAACAUCGGGGCUGCCGCUGAUACUGUAGGACUAGAGAUCGGAUGCAGCAGGCGGAAUGUGUAGUGUAGCGGUGAAAUGCAUAGAUAUUACACAGAACACCGAUUGCGAAGGCAGCUUGCUAGGCCGGAUCUGACACUGAUGCACGAAAGCGUGGGGAUCGAACAGGAUUAGAUACCCUAGUAGUC
rnacentral:rRNA from 1 species